AAUGGAACAUGUGUCUACAAAUAUUCAAGGCAUGCUGAUGUAGCUGACCUAGGAUUCUUUCUAGCAAAAUACUAAACCUUCUUUAUAGACGCUUCGCCUGCACCUGAUCUCUAUGCUUUGUGGAGGUAACCAAGUUCAUGCUUGGACUUUUUGCAGCUAUACUUCUAUAGCAUUCAUUCAGACUGAAGAUGCAUGUGAAGCUGGACUAUGUAAUCUGACUAAGUGUGUGAUUUUGAUGUCUGGGUAACAU
rnacentral:lncRNA from 1 species